rnacentral:rRNA from 1 species
AUUGAACGCUGGCGGCAUGCUUUACACAUGCAAGUCGAACGGUAACAGGGUGCUUGCACCGCUGACGAGUGGCGAACGGGUGAGUAAUGCGUCGGAACGUGCCGAGUAGUGGGGGAUAACGCAGCGAAAGUUGUGCUAAUACCGCAUACGUACUGAGGUAGAAAGUGGGGGACCUUCGGGCCUCACGCUAUUCGAGCGGCCGACGUCUGAUUAGCUAGUAGGUGAGGUAAAGGCUCACCUAGGCGACGAUCAGUAGCGGGUCUGAGAGGAUGAUCCGCCACACUGGGACUGAGACACGGCCCAGUCUCCUACGGGAGGCAGCAGUGGGGAAUUUUGGACAAUGGGCGAAAGCCUGAUCCAGCCAUGCCGCGUGUCUGAAGAAGGCCUUCGGGUUGUAAAGGACUUUUGUCAGGGAGGAAAUCCCUAGCGUUAAUACCGCUGGGGGAUGACAGUACCUGAAGAAUAAGCACCGGCUAACUACGUGCCAGCAGCCGCCGCCGUAA